UACGAAGGGGGCUAGCGUUGCUCGGAAUCACUGGGCGUAAAGCGCACGUAGGCGGCUUUUUAAGUCAGAGGUGAAAUCCUGGAGCUCAACUCCAGAACUGCCUUCGAUACUGAGAGGCUUGAGUCCGGGAGAGGUGAGUGGAACUGCGAGUGUAGAGGUGAAAUUCGUAGAUAUUCGCAAGAACACCAGUGGCGAAGGCGGCUCACUGGCCCGGUACUGACGCUGAGGUGCGAAAGCGUGGGGAGCAAACAGG
rnacentral:rRNA from 1 species